GACGAACGCUGGCGGCGUGCUUAACACAUGCAAGUCGAACGGAAAGGCCCUGCUUUUGUGGGGUGCUCGAGUGGCGAACGGGUGAGUAACACGUGAGUAACCUGCCCUUGACUUUGGGAUAACUUCAGGAAACUGGGGCUAAUACCGGAUAGGAGCUCCUGCUGCAUGAUGGGGGUUGGAAAGUUUCGGCGGUUGGGGAUGGACUCGCGGCUUAUCAGCUUGUUGGUGGGGUAGUGGCUUACCAAGGCUUUGACGGGUAGCCGGCCUGAGAGGGUGACCGGCCACAUUGGGACUGAGAUACGGCCCAGACUCCUACGGGAGGCAGCAGUGGGGAAUAUUGCACAGUGGGCGGAAGCCUGAUGCAGCAACGCCGCGUGCGGGAUGACGGCCUUCGGGUUGUAAACCGCUUUCGCCUGUGACGAAGCGUGAGUGACGGUAAUGGGUAAAGAAGCACCGGCUAACUACGUG
rnacentral:rRNA from 1 species